UUAUUUCUUCUCUUUUCCCGGACACCUGGAAGUGCUAGACGCAGGCAUGCCCUGGAGAAAGCCGUGUGGCUGAGUGUGCUUGGGACACAAGAGACAUAACCUCUCCUCGAGGAAAACCCCUUCUCUAAAUACGGUUGCUUUCAUUCAUCAUUUUUGAGGGGAGAAAAGUAACUGUACCAUCCCAGUAAACUUUUUCAGAUGAAAUGAAGAAUUUAGGUUUCACUGGGAAAUCUACAUUCAUCUUGAAGAGCGUACACAGUAUCCUCAACUUUGUUAUUCUCUGAAGAUGAGUCCUUUGAGAAUUAGGAUCCUGUUUUUGCUUUGUAGUCAUCGCAUGUGUCAAGGAAAACAUUAAAGACAAAGCCACAGAUUGACUUCAGCCACAACAGCCUGAUGUACAGAGCAUGAAAUAUGCAAUAUGUGUAACUCCUGGACCCAGCAUCCUACCUAAUGAAAACCCAGGAAGGGGACUUGCUGAUCCUUGGUUUCAUAAUUAGAAGUUCUGCAGGCACAAACCAAGUCAAGAGAAAAGAUGCUUCAUAUACACCUCAUCAGCUCAAGCUCGAAAUGCCUAAAGACAUGACAGCAAUGCUUAUGAAGGGUUCUAUUGAAUGGCUGAAGAAUGCCGAUCAGACAUCAGGAUGUAUAGCAGAGGAAAGCAGCUGUUCUGUUCUGGAGCCAUGGAAAUGCUUUGGAAUGGUUUUCGAGGAACAGUCAACAAACCUCCAGCAGCUGUGAGUGGUAAAAGAAAUGCUUCAGUUCAGAGCAGAGAAGAACGAGCAUGUUUUAAACCAUGGAGUCAGAAGGUGAGAAACUCCCAGGUUACCAGGAGCAGAGCUACUCUCAGAAGAAUGGGAUGAGUUGGUGACUACACCCCUCAGUGCAACAGGAAGCGCAGUGUCUCCCAACAUGAUGGAUCUCUCAAUACCACAGCAUUGGAAAGAGCCUUUGUUUUUUUCCACCCAAGGGAUCAUUUUGAAUAGUCUCUCAAGAUGGUUGAAGAGGCUAUAAUCUGGUCAAUGUUCCUCAAAGUGUGGAGAGUACCCGUGAGGCAAAAUAGAGAAGAGAUUGGAAGCAGAGUGGGAGAGACGAGCCUCACUUCCAACCCAUCCACUACUACACCCAUCACUUUUUUCUUCAUGCCUUGCAAGGUUAAGCCCGUAUUUAAUGAGAAUGCUGAUGGAUGAAGCCAUGACCGUAUGGUGAUUAUUACAGUGGACCAAGAUUCCAGAUUUUGUGCUUGAAGACGCGGGCAAAGCAGGACCUACUUCAUGGCUAGCCCUGUGCUGGGGAUUGUUGGGUGUGCAGGAACUUAGCUCAUUUGGGAUCCUUGCAUCCCUCCUCCUCCUCCUCAUCGUCAAAACAGCCACGGUGAAAUGAAAUACGCAUCAGGAAGCCCAGGGUUGAGCAGUUGGGGCUGGUACCCUGGCUCAGCAAUGCUGAGGAUGCCGACUGCUUCUCUCCCCCUGCUCUGACAUCUUCAGCAUGUGACUUUCAUCUUCCUGGGAGCAAGAUGUACUCUAUAUGCCACAUCUGCAUGCCAGUCCUCUCAGGGCCAUCGUUUGAAAAAGGAAAGCCAGAGCUGCCUUGUCUUAAGCCUGGGGAGGCUGCAAAGUGCAAGAGAGAUGCUUUACCCAGAAGUCCUCAGGCAGGCUUGCUUCCUCCAGCCUUCUGCCUGGGACGGGCAGGGCCGCCACAGCUCACUGGGGACCUUUCAUGUUUCCCUGCUCCUGUGAAUGGGUUGUGCCCACCAACACUACAGGUGGGUCCCGUGCAAGUGCCAAACAAGCAGCUGCACAGCCCAGGGACUUUGAGCUGUUUGCAGCUCUCCUGUCUUUGUAUCCCUGCCAACUCGCACACACCUGGGACCGCACCAGCUGCCUACCUACUGCAGCCCCCUUUCCCCCAUGUGACCUAAUCCUCAGGACACCUGCUCCUCUCCAGGGCUUCGAGCCCCAUUCCCUCCUUGCCUCAGUAAGGCCUGGGGAGGUUUGAACAAGACCUAUGUUUUUCAUGCCUAGAACAGUCAACUCCCACUAAUUUCAUGGCAUAUUAGGAGGGAUUAAGGUUUACAGUGAAGAAAGGCUGGAGCUGACAAUCAGCUUGGUCAUUUGGGGAUCUAAUUAAAUUGGACCUGAGACCUCGGCUCAGAAAUGGAAUCAAAUUCUCUCUUUGGCAUGAUGUGUGUUUUGGACCAAGAUUACAAACACAGACUGUCCCCGUCUUCCUUCUUUGCCUAUAGAUGUUGGUUUGCAAUUUUAAAACGCAGCAAGGGGUGAGGCAAGUACUACAGUUUGGAUUUUUUUUUUUUUUCUUUUUUGCGG